rnacentral:rRNA from 1 species
CAGUCGCCGCGGGAAUACGAAGGGUGCAAGCGUUAAUCGGAAUUACUGGGCGUAAAGCGUGCGUAGGCGGUGAGUUAAGUCUGCUGUGAAAUCCCCGGGCUCAACCUGGGAAUGGCAGUGGAUACUGGCUCGCUAGAGUGUGUCGGAGGAUGGUGGAAUUCCCGGUGUAGCGGUGAAAUGCGUAGAGAUCGGAAGGAACAUCUGUGGCGAAGGCGACUAUCUGGGCCAACACUGACACUGAGGCACGAAAGCGUGGGGAGCAAACAGGAUUAGAGACCCCUGUAGUCCCUGUCUCUUAUAU